rnacentral:lncRNA from 1 species
UCCUUUUAGUGCCCAUCUCCUUAGCCUGUCCCUUUCUUUCAGGUGACUCUGCCUCCCCCCAUUUGCUGAGGCCUCCUCCCUCCUUCUCCAAGACAGGCCCUGCUCCUCUUCCCCACCUGCCGUCUUAGUCCCACAUCUGGGCUCUGUUGGCUGGUUAACCAUCGAUCUUGCCUGGUAAAUAAUUCAGGGCCUCUGUUUCCUCAUCUGUGAAAUGAAAAGCCUAAGAGAACGCUAAGAUUCUUUUGGCCUAGAAUCCUGUGAGUCUCUCUUAUGACAGACAGUGACAUUUUCCACCCCAGUAGGGACCUGGAUUGCUACUGCCAUGGCCAGCUGGGUGCUCUCCAAGUCAGGGGUGCUGUGCGAGGAGGGCGUGGCUUCUGCUCCUCUGUGUCCCAGCCACUCCUCCUGUACUCAGGCCCCAGCUCCUCUGUUCUGCCCAGUGGCCUGGCGCAGGAAAGGUCCAGGCCGCGGCUGUGACUCCCGCGGGUGAACCACAGCUCCACAGCCCCAAAUCCAAAGAUGCUCUUGCUGCAGCACGACAAGUGUUCAAAAGAGAACCAGGCCCAGCCCGGAGAAAGGAAAGCCAAAAGCCAACUGAAUGAAUGACCCUCCCCCAGAAGAGCAACCCUGCCCCCAGGCCAUCCAAGUGCGAACAUUACCAGGUGCCAGCAGGGAAAGGACUCCGCUGCCUGACGCCUCUCCCACCUGAGAGCGCAGAGGUAGGGAGAUCACAGUGCCUGAGAGGUUUUCCUCCACGGAGAAAUCAGAGACCUCAACCUGCUGCCCUCUAAAGCAGCUUUCUGUAUCCAGACAAAACUUACAUAUGUACACGUUGUUUUAAAACGACAUACUCAUGUGACACACAUGUAUAUAAAUUCAUGUUUAUAUAUGACAAUUGAGGAGAGUUAAAGAACAAGAUAAUUCUGGAUGGAAAAAUCAGUUUGCCUGGGCAUCUGUAAACCUUUGGGCAAGUGAAUUCCCUCUUCUCUCUCAGUUCACCCUUUGGUGACCUCCACCGUGGCUGCAGACUUCAGGUGGUCCUCACGCAUUCACAGAACUGUCUGCUUAGG